UACGAAGGGGGCUAGCGUUGCUCGGAAUCACUGGGCGUAAAGCGCACGUAGGCGGGUCGUUAAGUCAGGGGUGAAAUCCUGGAGCUCAACUCCAGAACUGCCCUUGAUACUGGCGAUCUCGAGUUCGGGAGAGGUGAGUGGAACUGCGAGUGUAGAGGUGAAAUUCGUAGAUAUUCGGAAGAACACCAGUGGCGAAGGCGGCUCACUGGACCGGUAUUGACGCUGAGGUGCGAAAGCGUGGGGAGCAAACAGG
rnacentral:rRNA from 1 species